rnacentral:rRNA from 1 species
UUUCGGAACUCGAACGCCGCGCAUGGGGAGUGGCAGACGGGUGAGUAACACGUGGGAACCUACCUAGAGGUGCGGAAUAGCCCAGGGAAACUUGGAGUAAAUACCGCAUAAGCCCGCAAGGGGAAAGAUUUAUCGCCUUUAGAUGGGCCCGCGUCUGAUUAGCUAGUUGGUGAGGUAAUCUCACCAAGGCGACGAUCAGUAGCUGGUUUGAGGGAAUGACCAGCCACACUGGGACUGAGACACGGCCCAGACUCCUACGGGAGGCAGCAGUGGGGAAUAUUGCCAGACAAUGGGCGCAAGCCUGAUCCAGCCAUGCCGCGUGAGUGACGAAGGCCUUAGGGUUGUAAAGCUCUUUUGGCGGGGACGAUAAUGACGGUAAACCCGCAGCAGAAUUAAGCCCCGGCUAACUUCGUGCCAGCAGCCGCGGUAAUACGAAGGGGGCUAGCGUUGUUCGGAAUUACUGGGCGUAAAGCGCACGUAGGCGGAUUUGUUAGUCAGGGG